rnacentral:rRNA from 1 species
AUUGAACGCUGGCGGCAGGCCUAACACAUGCAAGUCGAGCGGAUGAAGGGAGCUUGCUCCUGGAUUCAGCGGCGGACGGGUGAGUAAUGCCUAGGAAUCUGCCUGGUAGUGGGGGAUAACGUCCGGAAACGGGCGCUAAUACCGCAUACGUCCUGAGGGAGAAAGUGGGGGAUCUUCGGACCUCACGCUAUCAGAUGAGCCUAGGUCGGAUUAGCUAGUUGGUGGGGUAAAGGCCUACCAAGGCGACGAUCCGUAACUGGUCUGAGAGGAUGAUCAGUCACACUGGAACUGAGACACGGUCCAGACUCCUACGGGAGGCAGCAGUGGGGAAUAUUGGACAAUGGGCGAAAGCCUGAUCCAGCCAUGCCGCGUGUGUGAAGAAGGUCUUCGGGUUGUAAAGCACUUUAAGUUGGGAGGAAGGGCAGUAAGUUAAUACCUUGCUGUUUUGACGUUACCAACAGAAGAAGCACCGGCUAACUUCGUG